rnacentral:rRNA from 1 species
UACAGAGGUCCCAAGCGUUGUUCGGAUUCAUUGGGCGUAAAGGGUGUGUAGGUGGCGCCGUAAGUCGGGUGUGAAAUCUCGGGGCUUAACUCCGAAACUGCAUUCGAUACUGCUGUGCUUGAGGACUGGAGAGGAGACUGGAAUUUACGGUGUAGCAGUGAAAUGCGUAGAGAUCGUAAGGAAGACCAGUGGCGAAGGCGGGUCUCUGGACAGUUCCUGACACUGAGGCACGAAGGCCAGGGGAGCAAACGGG